rnacentral:lncRNA from 1 species
CACUGACUUCAUUCAUAAGAAAUCUACCCUCAAAACCUCAGCUAAUUCUAUUGCCCUCUACAAACCAUACUUCUAAUGCAAGUACGUUCAUGCUUAGGUAGCAUUCAGUUUGUAAGUGAUAUUGUACUAGAUUGAAAGAUAAUCAUACAUUGAGUCCUUUCAUGAGGAUCUCUAUGCUCUCUGUGCAGGCUUAUGUCCAACAGCUACCAGAAUUUUCUAGCUUUCAUUUUUGCUAUAGAAAGGAUUAGCAGAAAUCUUCAUCUUUUACCCAAGAUACCUCUAAAAAGAUAUGAGUUCCAUAAUUUCCUGACCAGUCACUGGAGAAUUUCCUUCUUUUGCUUGCAAGACAGGAUGGGAUUCCCCAGUUAGACUUGCUUAGGAGAAAGCAAAUCUGUAGCAGUAUUAACAGAACCAUCAUGGGCAGCUUCUGCUCCAACAGGAACACUGCUGGAACUCUACAAAUUUACCACAGGCAAGGUGAAGAAUUGUACACCUAAUGCCUCUUUGGCAUGGUUACCUGUGAAUCAUUUUGACGUGACCAGGAAGUAGGAGUCACAAUGCUGUAUUUCCAUUCUGUACAUAGUGAGAGUUACAGUCCUGGAUUUGGGGAAACUCCGUAGGAGGGAAAGGCUACCUGUUAUUUUGAUAGCACCCCUUGUCCAGAAAAUGGGAUUGCCAUGCUACUGGUAAGAGCAUCUCCUCUGGACCAAUCCUCGUUUACCCUGAGUUUGCUCUACUCGGCACAGCCCUCCAUUAAAACGCACCUGUUCUGUCCCUUAGCCCACACUCUUUCUCUCAUCUGCCUUUUUCUUUGCAUUUCUCUUCCUGAUAUGGGGG